AUUGAACGCUGGCGGCAUGCUUUACACAUGCAAGUCGAACGGUAACAGGCCUUCGGGUGCUGACGCUUGGCGAACGGGUGAGUAAUUCAUCGGAACGUACCCAGAGGUUGGGGAUAACGCAGCGAAAGCUGUGCUAAUACCGCAUGUGAUCUGAGGAUGAAAUCGGGGGACCGAGCAGCAAUGUUUGGCCUCGCGCCUUUGGAGCGGCCGAUGUCGGAUUAGCUAGUUGGUGGGGUGAAGGCCUACCAAGGCGACGAUCCGUAGCUGGUCUGGGAGGACGAUAACCCGCACUGGGACUGAGACAGGCACAAGACUACUAAGGGAGGCCGCAGUGGGGAAUUUUGGACAAUGGGCGGAAACCUGAUACAGCAAUGCCGAGUGCGGGAAGAAGGCCUUCGGUUUGUAAAGCGCUUUUGGCAGGAACGAAACGGUGUCCGCUAAUACCGGGCGCUAAUGACGGUACCUGCAGAAUAAGCACCGGCUAACUACGUG
rnacentral:rRNA from 1 species